rnacentral:rRNA from 1 species
UACGUAGGGGGCGAGCGUUGUCCGGAUUUAUUGGGCGUAAAGAGCGUGUAGGCGGCUUGGUAGGUCCGCUGUGAAAACUCGGGGCUCAACCCCGAGAGGUCGGUGGAACCAUCUGGCUAGAGUCCGGAAGAGGAGAGUGGAAUUCCCGGUGUAGCGGUGAAAUGUGUAGAGAUCGGGAGGAACACCGGUGGCAAAGGCGGGUCUCUGGGCAUCUCCUGACGCUGAGGCGCGAAAGCGUGGGGAGCAAACGGG